rnacentral:lncRNA from 1 species
UUCAAAAUGUUUUUGCCUCAGACAACCGUGUGCGAUCAAUCAGUAAUGUAAUCCUCUGCUGGUAGAACACAAAAACAAAGCCCCACCUUGCCUUGUAAACACAACAUCAUUAGUCUUAGGAUAAACUAUAAAUUGAUGCAUAGAGCAAACAGCCAGAGCUGCAUCCCGGGGAAUGGGAGCAGAUGAAAUAGCAGUACUUUAUGGUGAAUGACAAAUCAUUGCUUGUUCCGUUCCCUAUCAAGUGGAACACCAUCAAUCACAUGGUGGACUCGUUGGGUUCCAAGACAGAUAGGACACCAUGAACAGAUGCUAUGGCUGAGACUGCUGGCCUGGGCAGCACUGUACUUUUUGCUUUUCCUGGAAGGGGAAGAAGAGAACAAUCCACUUUCUGUAUGGUCCUGUCCUUCAUUCGAGUUUAUAACGUUGUUGUGGACAUUGUGCUGACACACCUAAGGGUGGUUUGGAAACAGUUGGCAUGUUUUCUUUAUGUAUUUUUCACCUCUGCCAUCUGUAACUGAGAAAGGGUAUCCUUCCUCCUGCCAGUUCUCCCCAGCUGAAGUCUACACAAUCUUUACCCAGACAUCAGAAACAGCUGUCUCAGGCAGAAGGCGCUUGACUCCAGGUGGGCGCUCAGCAGCAAGGGCAGCAAAGUGCUGGGCACACAGAAGGACAACGUGAUGAAGCGCCAUCACAUGGCUGGUAGCCUGUGGUGAGUCACCGGACUUCUCGACUCCCACCUCACUAGGGUGGAAGGAACAGUAACCACAACGCUCUGCAACUCGGGCUGCGCCCGCAUGAUUGGAAACAAUCUGUGAAAUUGUGGAGUGAACAACCCCGAAGAAAUAGACUUCUAAUUCUAGCCUUUUGGAGAUUAUUAACCCAACUCCCAGAUUCUACAGAUGAGAAAAGGGAGGCCCAGGGAGGUGGAGAAACAUGUGUAGGAUCACAGAGAUGCCUUCAGCUCUCCAAAACAACAGAAAUGAUCAAAGAUGGAGGCAAGAAGACCAGAGAACCCUAAAUGUUUACUGUCUCCAGUGUGUUUGGAAACAGCUUGGACCAGUGUAGAGUGCUGGAACAGAGAGUCAAGAGCAUCAGGUUCGAUUCCCACCCUUACAAACUGCUCAGCCUAUGGAAAUUACUUUAUGUUUCAGGCCUCACUCUUGCCAUCUUUAAAAUGGCGACACAUGUACACACCCCUCCACAGUAAAUACAGAGGUCCUGCAAGCCAGGAUGUUAAGUACUUAGGAUGAAAAUGAUGACGAUUAAGUCUAUUCUAUCACUUGAUCUGAUUCUCUCUGACUAGUCUGCAGGGGGUAAUAACAUGGCCUGCAGAUGAUCCAUAAUCCACCAUCUUCUGGUGAAAAGAGAGGA